rnacentral:rRNA from 1 species
UACGGGGGGGGCAAGCGUUGUUCGGAAUUACUGGGCGUAAAGGGCUCGUAGGCGGCCAACUAAGUCAGACGUGAAAUCCCCAGGCUCAACCUGGGAACUGCGUCUGAUACUGGAUGGCUUGAAUCCGGGAGAGGGAUGCGGAAUUCCAGGUGUAGCGGUGAAAUGCGUAGAUAUCUGGAGGAACACCGGUGGCGAAGGCGGCAUCCUGGACCGGCAUUGACGCUGAGGAGCGAAAGCCAGGGGAGCAAACGGG